CUUAAACAGACUUACAUAUAGUAUCAAAGGGCCACAAAUUAAAUAUUAUGUAACUACUACCUAAAUACCAGGAUACCGAAGACAUUUAAAAUCAACAAGAAAACUCUGACAAAGAAAAUGUCACUCUACUAUCACUUAAAAGGUCACCGGUGGCGAAAAGACUCUAGUGGUAGUGAUGGACCGUGAGACUAAAACGAUAUUGACAACAGGAGGAAUAUCCAUGAUGUGAAAGAGAAAGAUGAAGAAAACAAAGCGGUACAAACAAUGUCAAGUAACACUAAGAAAAUAUAAGUAACAUGGAGAAGAACAAACGACAAGAGCUACGACGUUGUGACCAUUGACUCUUAGGCCGCUGUUAGUUUAUCUUCAGCUUCUUAAGAACAGGAAGAGAACACAACUUGAGGUAAAGGUCCAACGGCAUUGACUACCAAUAGGUACGAAAAACGUCGAAGUAAUAAUGAGAGAAAUACAAGGUGUGUACACCGUGUACCAGACUUCACAUACUUAAAGGGGUAUUGUACUACCUAGGAAGUAGAAGUCGAUUGAACGUCGUUACGUCGUUCACAUACGAAAAUAAAUAAAUAAAAGAAGUCCUUAAAAACAACGACUACGUUGGACUUAUACACAAAUGUAUAGUCAAAGAGAUGAACUACAAAGAAUUAAUGGAACAGGUUCGAAUCUAACAGUUCUUCAGUAUGAAAGGUCCCUAGACUUCUUCGACCUAGUUAUGUUCGAAAUACAUCUCUUUGAAAUACAUCGAACGACAGAACGACAUGUAACAGACUUCGAAAUACAUCGAAACGACAGAACGACAUGCAACGACAUUGAAUGUCAAUGUCCCAACAUGUCAGGACAUAGUAGUUUGACCAAAAGACAUCGUAGAACAGACAGGACCAUCAACUCAUUCAAUAAAAGACACUUAACAAGGACAAAGUUCGUUUAAGUCUAGGAACUGUUACGGUACUCUUAAAGUCCAAAAGAAGGUAUUCACAACACUUCUUUUGUUUUGACAGUUAUUGGACCUCUUCCAGCACUCUCAUGACUGCACCGUCACUACGAAAAACUCGGGAAAGUAACGAACGAGUACCUAGUAUCUCGCGUAUCUAGUAUGUACGUACAUAAAGGUCAGUUCAAAAAUAAAAGGUAAACACAGUCUAACAAUGACCAACCG
rnacentral:rRNA from 1 species